GGUCCUGUGGCGCAAUGGAUACGCGUCUGACUACGGAUCAGAAGAUUCCAGGUUCGAAUCCUGGCAGGAUCG
rnacentral:tRNA from 1 species